rnacentral:tRNA from 6 species
CGAAAUCGGUAGACGCUACGGACUUAAAAUCCGUCGACUUUUGAAAUCGUGAGGGUUCAAGUCCCUCUAUCCCCA